UACGUAGGGUGCGAGCGUUAAUCGGAAUUACUGGGCGUAAAGCGUGCGCAGGCGGUUAUGCAAGCCAGAGGGGAAAUCCCCGGGCUCAACCUGGGAACUGCCUUUGUGACUGCAUAGCUAGAGUACGGUAGAGGGGGAUGGAAUUCCGCGUGUAGCAGUGAAAUGCGUAGAUAUGCGGAGGAACACCGAUGGCGAAGGCAAUCCCCUGGACCUGUACUGACGCUCAUGCACGAAAGCGUGGGGAGCAAACAGG
rnacentral:rRNA from 1 species